GUUUUUAUGAGAGCGCUGAGGGAAACUUGAUUGAAGAAAAUAACCUUAUAGUGAACGCAGGGAAAGCCGCUGAGACCGCUCCCUGCUGGUCUGCCACCCAAAAGAGCUUGAGGCCUAGUACCAGCAGCCAACUCCCUAGAGGUCAACCUCAUCUUGUCAGCCUUGUCCAAGCCCUGGAGUCCGGUUCAGUCAAGUUUUUCCCAGAACAUCCGGCCCAUCCUCGAUCGCAUGGUUGGCCUGCGCUUUCUAUGCUGAAAUUAUGUCAUUCCAGUGGGCAUCAAUGGCAUGACCAUCCCACGGAGAUCACUAUGAAGUGCAGUUUCAGUCUCUACCGGAGUUAAUGAAGUAAAUCUAGUUAAAAUCUUACAUGAUAUGCUCAGAAAUGAGUGAUAGACGCAUUGUGAAUGUUGAAAAAUGUGUCAGUGAUUCCUGUGAAGGUUCACAGUCAUCCAGGUCAUAGUUAUCCAACUAAGGUCAAGGGCAAGUGGAGUUGGUUGAAGAUACUAGAAGACGUUUCGUCCCUCAUCCAAAAGACUUCUUCAGUUCUGACUGAAGGGAAGGGAAACUCAGCUAUUUAACCUCUGGGAUCAUUAGCUAGGAUGAUAAAUACUGCUGGUUCAUUAGUGCUCCUGGCUGUGGUAACGACAGUCGUCAUGGUUGUUAGAGCCACCCGUGGCAAAGUCUGAGCGACCAUUGUUGGCAUCUUCACCGGAGGCCAAAAGGAAAUGCUUGUUCAGUUUCCUGGGAAGUGAUGAAAGGACAACAUUGUAAGUGGGGGAUAAGUUGGCGCAGACCCCCUUCUCUGUUCAACUACGGGUUCUCAACCUGGGUGUAAAUGGCUUCCUUGACACCUAGUGUCUGUGAAGCUAAAAGCUGAAUUUAAUAUGGCUUUUGGAGUAUUCAAACAUGUCAUUUGUGAAGUCUAUUCAUCUCGUAGAGCUGAGCGAGACACCUAUCUAACCAUUAUUUCUGACUUGGCCAUGACAUACAGAGGAACUGACUUGAAUACCACAUGUCAUUAUCUGCAAAACCUACCAUGUACUUUCAGUGAUUCAACCAGAGGCUGGACUGGUCAGCAGUUGAUCUAGCUCUCAUAAGCAGGCAUUUCACAGGACAUCACGAUCUGUCCUCCUCAAUCUGCAGCUCUUCCUCUCACUCCACCUAUCUGUGCCCAAAAUCCAUGAUCAUAGUCCAACAACCCAAGCCACAUUUUAUUUAGUUAAUGUUACACUGAGUUCUGGAGUCUGGGGAGUGUGCUGACUUACUGUAUUUAAUAAGCCGUCAAUAAUUGCAUUGCACAUUACAUGGCUGUGCUCUGUAAAUGAAAAACAGGUUACAGUUACAGUAUUCUUAUAGCUAUGCAGUUUUAUAAGCAACCUGGAUUGAACGCAGCAGGUGAUACAGCAUUCGUAAGAACCACGAGAGACUUGAGACUUGACUUGGACUCUAGCUCAAAGACUUGAGACUUGACUUGGACUCUAGCUCAAAGACUUUUGAGCAUCUCUGAUUCUACAAAGAGUUAAUUUGCAAAAACAGAUAAAAGCCAUUCUAAAAUGAAUCAACAAUCACCUGGUUGAUACUCCCUGGAGUGCACACAAAAAGAACAGUAAAGUAGGAUAAUAAACACAAAAGGAGAUAUUGUUUUUUGCAAAAGAACACUUCAAAUAUGUUGUACAGUUUAAUCAGGAAUUAUAUUUAUUUUGAUCUGUAAUUAAUACUCGCAUGCUGUGAUAUGUUAAUUGGGUCAAUUGAGUCUCUUUGUGUUUAUAGGAUUGCAUCUACAUGGCCAUUUUAUGUUGGACCACUUAUUUUUUAUAUUUCAGAUGGUCCGCUCUUCAGAGGCAGCAGCAUGCUCUGCGCCACAUGCUGACACUCUAACACCUUUUUGGCAUUUCUAAGGUCCAUACUGUGAUCACCAUUAAUAACAUUCUCUUUCUUGCUUUAACAACUCCAACAAAAAUUCCAAUUUUACACUGGGUGAAAUAUUUUUUUUUCGCUUUUCUGUCAGAAUUUGCCACUGUUGUCUUUAUGCAGUCAGUAUGUAUUAAUAUUCAUUAGGGCCAUUUCACUGACUAUUCAUAGGCAACUGAGGCGUUAAAAGGAUGGGACAAGAAGCUCAUAUGUGCCAAAUUUCAAGUUGAUUGUGAUUUAUACAGGGAAAUCGCCAUGGGACAUGCUUGUGUUAUAAAUCGGAAUAAUUUGUGCAUAAGCACUUUCUAUGUUUUGUCCAUAUGCAACCUUUUGAUGUGAAUCCUGCGUACAGUUUUAUAAAUGUCCAGGCCUGCUUGCUCAUUUGCGCUAUGGGAAACAAAGCUGAAAACAUAUCCAGCUCAUUUUUAGUUUGAAGAGGAAGAACACAAAAAAGACUAUAACGCCGUUUUGAAUAAAUUUGACUACUUCAUUCCAAGACAGAACCUAAACGGCUGCGCUUUUAUCAGAGGAGCCAGCUAUCUGGUGAGAAAGCAGAAGCAUGCAUAAUGGUUCUGUAUGAGCAGAGAACUGUGAGUUUGGUGAAAGUCUAUGGAAUUUGUAGGAUUAAUGUCAGAGAUUGGACAGACUGCAGAGGUCUGACCAAUCUUUUGCGUUUGAGGUACUGGAGGUCAUGAUUAUUGAUACUAUCCACCCCACAUAGUUGUCUUUCAUUGGCCUCCCUGUUCCAUCCACUCUGUACACACUAGAAAGAGAUUAUGUCUGUAAAUGUUCAAGACACUGAAUUACAAAUUUACACCACUUGCUGUAUUUUUGGAAGGUCUGUCAUUACAAGUAUGUUCUGUUUCUUUACACACAAACUGUUGUUGUCAUUGACUUAACAGGUCAAUGUUGUUUCAUUCUGUAGGAGUAAAUAUUGUAUACAUCCUUUCAGUGUAGGCCAAUAUCUUGCUAUUAAAUAUUUCAGACAGAUGAGAUGAACAAAUACACUCACAGAGAAACUGUCAGUAAUUGUAUGCUCAUAUUCAGCCCUGUUUGUAACUUUAAUCUGUCAUGUCAGCUGUUAAAGGUUGAAAUGAAGAUGAGAUGAGGUCAGAAGUGUUUUGAAUGUCAAAUUUAACUGAAAUACCUAUUUAAACAGCUGCUAGCUCUCCUGUUAGGAAAUAAUCCAUCCAUCCAUCGUCAAUCGCUUAUCCUGUGUAUCGGGCGAAAGGCGGGGUACACCCUGGACAGGUUGCCAGUCCAUUGCAAGUGUUAUAAUAAUACUGUCCUCUAAUACUGUAUAAGCAUGGAACAGUUUUAAGAUAGAAGCUUUUGGAAGUUGCAGCACUGAAAUACUACUGGUAUCAGUAUCAACAUUCAAAAGCCAAAAGCGGUCAAAACUGACCGCACAGCAUGUUACUGUACCUGAUCAGUAAGUGGACAAGAGCUGACACAAUAUUUUCCCUAACUAUUGUGGAAGUCAAUAUGUAGAAUGUAGACCAGAUAAAGCCAUUGUAUGGUAUGCAAUUGAGAAUAAUAUCCUUUUAACCUUUAACCUAUGAAUGUGUUCUGUCCAUAGUCUCUUUUUCACUUUAACUGCUAUCUAAAGUCAUUACAUGUCAUGCUCAGUGAAAGCUGAUCCAAAUAAAGGUCCCUAAAGACAGUAACCUGUAAUCUGUACUUAAGUAAAUGUUUGGCCCUAAUCUCCUCCAGCAAUACGCAGUGCAGAGACCAUGGAAUUAAUGGAAACCAGGGAUGUCACUGAGGUUCCAAAAAAAAAAAAAGUUUCUUUUCCUACGACCUUUUUACAGUAGACAUUUUGACAAGAGGAAAGACACAGGUAAAACAAAUAACAUUAAUAUUGGCUCUGUUCCAUUAAAAAUGGCUAUAAAUCCAUACUGCUGUGGUACAGUACAUGUCUCACAUAUUCUAAGACAUUCUGCUUGGGGAGAAUCUUGGAUAGGUUGUCAUUCAGAAAACAUGUGACCACAAUCACUGAUUCAGUGCCAAAAUUCAAACAUGACUACAGAGGCAGGGAUGCUGACUGGUCAAAAAAGGGGAUUGUGUGUUUAGGAAUUGUUUAUAUUUACUGUAUAUAAAAAAAAAAAAAUACAGCAGGCUUCUGAUAAUGCUGUGAUAUCCCUGGAGCAUGCAACUGCCUCUCUUCAUGAAGAGUUGUUAGCCACUGGGAGAGAUUAGCAUUUUACUGCAGUGGAUUGGUUGUCUGUACCGCAUCAGUCCAGACAACUUUUCUCAUCCAUUAGUGUAUUACGAAAACAAGACACAUUGGAGAGAGAAAGAUGCAUGCGCUGGUGAGAUAAGCACACGCACAGGGCUUAGGAACACCUAACCUUCACAGUUGCAAUAAACAAUAACAUGUGACUUAAGAGGAUUUACAUAAGAUGAGAGGAGUAAUCAGAGGGAGUGAAAAACCAAUGAGGCAGCAAUGGCAUCUCCUCAAAAGUCUCUGUGUUGCUGAAUGAGGAAAGUUGCCAUUCUGCUGGGUUUAGAGGAAGGCUGUUGUUAUCAUUUUAUUUCCUCUACCAGUACUACAAACCAACAUAGAUGUCAGUUUUUCGUCUGCAUUCAAAUUCAGUGAGCACAGCUCUGAGUGUUACCAUGGUAAAACUCUGGCAUAAGAAGGGCAUAGCAGACACAAAAAGUGACAUAAGAUAAUACUCAGGCAGAUUAUCAGUGCUCUCUGCUCAGGCAGAAAGAGGCUUGUUUACUGUAUUUGUGCUAAACGUCACACACAACAGAUCUGAAAAGGAACAGAUUGUAAAUAUGUCAUUUAGUCAUUUAUAUAGCUGGUUUAAUUAUUUUCAUUUGGUGAACCAGAGGAGGACUUUCUAGGGAAUGAAAUAAUUCCUUGUUUCUUCUUUUUCAUCUCUUAUCUAAUUAGAAUUCAGUUCAAUCUAAUCUUGUCAGACUUGCUUUUCUUGUGCAAAAACAAAAAGGCAUUCUGUUUUUACUCUGUAUUUCACUUUUAUCUGACUGGAUUAAAGAAAAAAUGUACAGAGGCAAGCAGGCAAGGGACAUACCGUAGGAAACCAAAGUGGCUAAGUGGAGGUGCUUGGAAAAACAGAUGACCUGCAUUACUGUAGGUUUUAAGCAGCCCAUUCUCACACCAGGGUGUAAAAUACUUGCACUUUACAGUACCCUUCAGCAUCCAUAUGAUAUGCCAUUGGCUUUCAGGUAAAUCCACCUACCAUACCAGUUUUUAGCUACAUAAUGUAACAUAACUGAGUUAUGUCACAUAAUGUACUUAUUUCAACACAAAACACAUAGGUGUUAUCUACACUGGGGACGCUGGGGACAUGUCCCCACCACAUUUUGAAAUGGCUGAUUUCGUCCCCAUCACUUUUUGAAAGCAUUUGUAAAAAUGUUCUGAAAAAUAGCUUGCACCAAGAAAUGUUUAUUUGUACAAAAAGAAAACAUGCCAUGCAGUUUAAAUAUAGAAGACACCAAUGUAUAUUUUCCAAAGAUUGCUGCUGAUGACCGCAUUAUAUUGUUAUAUUUUAUAUUUAUGAUUGUCACCUGCCAGCUGAAUUUUUGGUUUUGUGUCCUUAUAAAUAAAGACAUUUCCACCAUAAAUUGGAGCAGAAAAUGUCUUCAGAAUGCAGGAAAUUAAGUGUUCAAUGCUCCAAUUUUUAUGGGUUCUUGUGCAUCGCACACGAGCUCUUCCUAAACCUAACCAAAACCAUGAUAUUUUGUAUUUUGUACAUAUUUGAUGCCUUGGAAUGAGAACUUGUUGUUUUACCAACCUAUGCGCAUGCUCCCAACUUGUUGUACAACCAAUAACAAUCCAUGCAAACAAGCUUACUUAGUUUAAACUCCAGCUAACACCUGUUAACUGAUCACCAACUUCCUGACAGAAAGGAAGAAGCAGGUGAAGGAGGAACCUUCAUUCAGCAUCCUGAGUCAGCACUAGUGCUCCCCUCCCUUUACACCAACAACUACACCUCUAGGGACCUCUGUCAAACUCCUGAAGCAAAGCUAACUGGCCUCAUCCAAGAUGGAUAUCCAACAACUGGCCUGCUGGUCCAAUCACAACAACCUGGAUCUGAACAUGCUCAAAACUGUGGAGAUAGUGGACUUCAAUAGACUGCCCUGCCCUCCGUCACCAUCCACACCUGGCACAAUAGAGUUGGUUUGAACUAAGGCUUCUGGUUUCAAGUGGUCAUAAAAAGGCCCAGCAGCAGAAGUUCAACCAGGAGUGAUUGAUAAUGUUCACCACCAAUCACCAAUCACAUAUCAACCACACUCUUGUUAUGACCAGCACCUAAAAGGACAGGUAGGGAGGUAGGUCCUGGACUUGUACAUCUGUCGAGUCAGAAAACUGGCAGGGAAAUGCAGCACAGACCCCUCCUACCCAGUUCACAACUUAUUUGAUCGUCUCUGGCAUUUGCUACAAGGGACUACACUACAAAACAGGCAGACACAGGAACAAUAAUUCCACAGGGAACAAGACACUGAGUAAUUUAUUCAUCCAUGUGAAUUUGGUCCUACAGUUUCUGAACAAUAACCAGUAAUUACUAUGCAGUUUAUUUUAGAUACGUAUACCCAUACUAAUAUCUCUACACAUCACAGAUGUUACGCCACUGUCAUUCACAAUGCAGGCUAUAUCUAUACAUAUACCGUUUGUACCGUGUGCAAUAACUACAUAUGCAGCCACCUCUAUAUUUAAUUUGUUGUAUCACUCAAAAUGUAUACAGUCAUUUUCUAAUGUUCUUUGGAUCAAUAUGCACUCGUCUACAGAUAUUUAUUGUCCAUCAUUAUUUUUAUACCUUCUUGUGUGUUUUAACUGUUAGUUAAUUUUAUUAUAUACAUAUUUCUAAAUCCUUCUGUAUGUUUGUUUUAGCAGUACAGAAUGUGCCCGACAGUACCUUUAUUCUGGUCCUGAUUCUGGUUCUGAAUAUUCAUGCACAUAAACGAACAGCUCAGGAUUGCAUUACCACUAAUUGUAGCCCAGAUGGCAGUGUUCUCCUCAGGUUGAAAUGGAAAUGUGACCUGCAGUUCUGACUGCUGAAAUAUUUUAUUGUACAAAAUGAAAACACUCAACAUAACUACUGGUACAUAAUAUGUUGGUAUAGAAACAUAAUGAUCAUAAUAAUAUUUGUGUAUGAUCUAAUAUGAUUAUUUGUUAUCAAAACAAAAUACAUGUAUGUUUUUUUUGGAAUAUAUGUGUAAUUAUUACAUCUCUCAUAUUUAUGGAAUACUUGAAUGGCUUCAGAGAGUAUUAUGUUAACCAAUAUCUGAAAUAGUAGAUACAUUACAGUGUUAUAUAUGGCAUCAACUGAAUGACGUAUUUAGUGGUAAUUUGCUUUCUUACAUUAGAAAAAUAAAUAUCCAUGUAAUAAGGCUUCAAAAGUGACAUAAAGAGAUGUAAGGAUUCCCUGACACUUGGUCCACGAAGACACUAGGAAGUCUGCAGCUACUUCAAAACAUUUGUCAGUCACAUUGUUGCAGCUCAAGCAUCACAAGGCAGCUGUUAAGCAGACUCUAAAAAUGUUAAGCUUCCAACAAUGGGAGGCAGAAAAUGUGAAGGGAAACAAUUAAAUUACGCCUUGCAUGAAGUUUGCUUUUCAUUUUGUGAGGCAAAUUUAGUGCCAUGGUUAAUCAUUAUGCUGUUGAACACGAUUUGCAAAAAUAUUCAAGAGCUUUAUGUGCCUCAGUGCCCCUUCUGUAUUGAAAAAUAAUGGCCCUCUAUCCAAUUAAAAACUGCAUUAAAUCUCUAAA